UGUACUAUACUUUCAGGGAUCAUUUCUAUAGUUUGUAACUAGAGAAGUGUGGUUGAAAGUGUCUGAGGCUUCAUCUUCCUUUCUGAGGG
rnacentral:snoRNA from 1 species